UUUUCAAAUCCUACUUUUAAAUCAAGAUAUAUUUUCCUAAAAUAAAUACAGUGAUGACUUCCAAUUUGAUGCUCACACACAUGUCAAUUCCGAACAAGAAUCCUCUCACGUUUCAGCGAGUCACAUUUUCUUCUUCCUUCAAACCUCGUCGUAGCUGAAAGCCCAGUAGGUAUGCAGCAGAGAAUAAUAAUACCAAACAAGCAAGGUCAAAAACUUGGUGGUGUGUUUCAUGACACUGGAUCAGAAAAACUUGCGGUUUUAGUCAUGGCUUUCGAUCCUCAAAGGGGAGCAACAUGAUGGUAAACCUUGCUGCUGCUUUGGAGAAAGAAGGAAUUAGUGCAUUUCGCUUCGACUUUUCUGGAAACGGAUUUUGAAUUACAUACGACAAUGCUCAGAAUUUGAAAUACAAGACUGCACCAAGAAAGAAACUGCUUACUGUGGAGGGACUGGACUACCAUUGGGAGUUUAGGCAGUGGAGAUGUUGCCAAGAGUCACCUUUUCCACACGAGCUCGUCUUGCUCGUCUCGUCGCCUCCUUUUGCCUCCACCAGACUCUGUCGAUCUCGUGUAAAAAUCAUUCCACAAAGCAAAGGCAGUUGCUAGAACCAUGGUGCUAAAUCUUCUCUCACGUCGCCACAUUCUCGCCAUCUGUCUUCAGAUCUCCACUCCAUUGCCAUGCUCACUCUUCAUAUCAUCCUGUCCAUUACCAAAAAGGAUCAAAAUCACGCGUUAAACAACACGGUGUUCGUGAGAAAUCUGGCAUUUGCUUCUGGUAUUCCAAGAAAAUAGCAACAAGUCAUACCAGUUCGUGCUUCAUCUUCUCAAUUCUUUCCUCGAGUUCUACAACGUGGUGUAUCAGUGCCUGCAUAUCAUUCAAUAGAUUCUGCGUGAAUAAAUUCUCUCUAUACACCAUCAAAAAAUAUACGU